GUCCUAGCCCUAAACGAUGAAGACUUGGUAUGGCGGGUACCAAUCCUGCCGUGCCGGAGCUAACGCAGUAAGUCUUCCGCCUGGGGAGUACGGUCGCAAGGCUGAAAACUCAAAGGAAUUGACGGGGGCCCCGCACAAGCGGUGGAGCAUGUGGUUCAAUUCGACGCAACGCGAAGAACCUUACCUGGGCUCGAAGCGCAGUGGAAUCCGGGUGAAAAUCCGGCGCCCGCAAGGGCCGCUGCGGAGGUGCUGCAUGGCUGUCGU
rnacentral:rRNA from 1 species